UACAGAGGGUGCGAACGUUGCUCGGAAUCACUGGGCGUAAAGCGCGUGUAGGCGGACGAUCAAGUCAGGUGUGAAAUCCCUGGGCUCAACCCAGGAACUGCAUCUGAAACUGGUCGUCUUGAGUGUCGGAGAGGGAAGCGGAAUUCCGGGUGUAGAGGUGAAAUUCGUAGAUAUCCGGAGGAACACCGGUGGCGAAGGCGGCUUCCUGGACGACUACUGACGCUGAGACGCGAAAGCGUGGGGAGCAAACAGG
rnacentral:misc_RNA from 1 species